rnacentral:rRNA from 1 species
GACGAACCGUGCGAACGUUGUUCGGAAUCACUGGGCUUAAAGGGCGCGUAGGCGGACCUGCAAGUCGGGGGUGAAAGCCCGAGGCUCAACCUCGGAACUGCCUUCGAUACUGCAGGUCUCGAGUCCGGGAGAGGUGAGUGGAAUUCCUAGUGUAGAGGUGAAAUUCGUAGAUAUUAGGAAGAACACCAGUGGCGAAGGCGGCUCACUGGCCCGGUACUGACGCUGAGGCGCGAAAGCGUGGGGAGCAAACAGG